UACGGAGGGGGCGAGCGUUAUUCGGAAUUAUUGGGCGUAAAGGGCGCGUAGGCGGCCCUGCAAGUCAAAGGUGAAAUCCCUCGGCUCAACUGAGGAACUGCCUUUGAAACUGCAGGGCUUGAGGCCGGGAGGGGGUAGCGGAAUUCCCGGUGUAGUGGUGAAAUGCGUAGAUAUCGGGAGGAACACCAGUGGCGAAGGCGACUACCUGGCCCAUUCUUGACGCUGAGGCGCGAAAGCUAGGGGAGCGAACGGG
rnacentral:rRNA from 1 species